GAUGAACGCUGGCGGCGUGCCUAAUACAUGCAAGUCGAGCGAACGGACGAGAAGCUUGCUUCUCUGAUGUUAGCGGCGGACGGGUGAGUAACACGUGGAUAACCUACCUAUAAGACUGGGAUAACUUCGGGAAACCGGAGCUAAUACCGGAUAAUAUUUUGAACCGCAUGGUUCAAAAGUGAAAGACGGUCUUGCUGUCACUUAUAGAUGGAUCCGCGCUGCAUUAGCUAGUUGGUAAGGUAACGGCUUACCAAGGCAACGAUGCAUAGCCGACCUGAGAGGGUGAUCGGCCACACUGGAACUGAGACACGGUCCAGACUCCUACGGGAGGCAGCAGUAGGGAAUCUGCCGCAAUGGGCGAAAGCCUGACGGAGCAACGCCGCGUGAGUGAUGAAGGUCUUCGGAUCGUAAAACUCUGUUAUUAGGGAAGAACGUAUGUGUAAGUAACUGUGCACAUCUUGACGGUACCUAAUCAGAAAGCCACGGCUAACUACGUG
rnacentral:rRNA from 1 species